rnacentral:rRNA from 1 species
CUGUCCGUGCAAAGGUAGCAUAAUCAUUUGCCUUAUAAUUGAAGGCUAGUAUGAAUGGUUUGACAUGAAUGUAGCUGUCUCUUUAUAAUUUAAUAGAAUUUUAUCUUUAGGUGAAGAAGCCUGAAUUCAAUUAAAAGACAAGAAGACCCUAUCGAGCUUGAAAAAAAUUGAUGGAAUUAAAGUCAAUAUAGUUAAAAGAUUAUCUAUCACAUAUUUUAGUUGGGGCGACUAAGGAACAUAAAAAGCUUCCUUUAAAAUAUUAGUUUAAGUCAAACUAGAAUUGAUCCAAAAUAUUUUGAUUAAAGGAAUUAGUUACCGUAGGGAUAACAGCAUUAUCUUUUUUAAGAGCUCAUAUCGAAAAAAAGGUUUGUGACCUCGAUGUUGGACCAGAAUAUCCUAAAGGUGCAGCAGCC